rnacentral:rRNA from 1 species
GACGAACCGAGCGAACGUUGUUCGGAAUAACUGGGCUUAAAGGGCGCGUAGGCGGGCCGCCAAGUUCGAGGUGAAAUCCUCCGGCUCAACCGGAGAACUGCCUCGAAUACUGGAGGCCUCGAGGCGGGUAGGGGCGUGCGGAACUGUGGGUGGAGCGGUGAAAUGCGUUGAUAUCCACAGGAACUCCGGUGGCGAAGGCGGCACGCUGGACCCGAUCUGACGCUGAGGCGCGAAAGCGUGGGGAGCGAACAGG